ACAUAUUCACCACUUAAGAGGACGAUCUGUUAAUUGCAACGAUUAAAUAAACUGUUUUAUUUAAUUAUGCUAGUCCGGGUUUGGAGACCUCUUAGUGUACAUUGAAAACUUAUGGUAAGACGAUAUGGUCGGAGCGACAAGUUGUCUAUCAUAUAUCGCCAGAGUGCCGUUAGUGAAAUAAAAAAAUCUCCAUGAGUUAUUUAAAUCCUGUAAGAUAAUGCUAAAAUAACAACCUCACUUUAGUGAACCUGUUGGACUGUGAAAUAUUUUAGCGACGUUUGGUUUUUUUAUUGACAUUAAAUCGAUAGAGGAAAACAAUUCUUGGCCACUGUCGUGAAAUGAGAGAACAUAAAAAGAUUUGUCCCCGAUAUUCCUAGCAUGGACUCUCUUUCACCUGAACAAAUUGCAGAACUUCGGGAAACCUUUCUCCUUUUCGAUAGGGAUGGAGAUGGCACGGUGAACUGCGAGGAACUUGGGACGGUAAUGAGACAAUUAGGUCAAGAACCUUCAGAGGAGGAACUGCGACAAAUGAUAGCGGAAGUUGACGA